rnacentral:lncRNA from 1 species
CUUAUGGCUGAAGGUGUUGAAAUGACUAAUUGGAUGGAGACAAUUAUCUUCCUGCGUCAGCCUCCUUUGAUGUCUUUGCUAAAAUCCCAGCUACAGAGAGAUCUAAUUGCAAAUGAACUAAUUAAGUAAACCUCUGACGAAGCGUGAAAACAAUUUGUUUGACCCUGAUGCUGCAAGGGUCUGGGAGACAGCGGAGUUAAUCAGUCAGUGACAGAGCCUGGCA